UACGGGGGGGGGCAAGCGUUGUUCGGAAUUACUGGGCGUAAAGGGCUCGUAGGCGGCCAACUAAGUCGGAUGUGAAAUCCCCAGGCUUAACCUGGGAACUGCAUCCGAUACUGGAUGGCUUGAAUCCGGGAGAGGGAUGCAGAAUUCCAGGUGUAGCGGUGAAAUGCGCAGAUAUCAGGAGGAACACCGGUGGCGAAGGCGGGUCUCUGGGCCGAUACUGACGCUGGAGGAGCGAAAGCGUGGGGAGCGAACAGG
rnacentral:rRNA from 1 species